AUGCAGUUUCAAAGCAAUGAUUGGACUUUUUUAAUUUGAAGUUUUAAUCAUGUGAUGAAUUAAUCUUACUUUGAAGAACAUUCUGAAAUAAUUAAGUAAAAUGUGGAAGUCAACAUUCAGUGUGUAAAAAAGGCUGAAAAGAGUGAUUCAGUGAGUUAUGAUGGAACUUUUUAUAAUGCUCUUAACUACUCAACACAGACGAUCCAAUCACAGGAAAUGUUAUGAAUAUUUCCGCUGUAACUGAACCUAGAAAGGAAUACACCGAUUACAGAGUAGGAGAUGUAGUUAAGGCGAGAUGUGGGUCAUUUGGUGUUGUACCCGCCAUUAUCGGAAAGAUCGGAGAUAAAGCUGAGAAGAAAGAUCUGGAGAAGCUCUUGAGCAUGCCUCAGAUGUUUUCUACCCUCAUAGACAGCUUUAUACCUGAGAUUCUUGUCAUGAAAA